GCUGCCCAAUGUGAUUCCCUUGGUGAGUGAAGAUAUUAAGAGACUUUAUUAAUAGCAAAAGAGAGAUCCAGACGAGUCAAAGACAAGUAUUGGAGGCCACCCACAAUACUUCUGUACAAUUGGGGAUCUCAAAUUGAGGACCAUCAUUAGCAUAAAGUUUGGCAUUGGUACACAGAGGCCUGGAAAUUGGCUUGCACGCAUCCAUGUUAGCUCUUGUCAACAAAUCAGUUAUAUAUUUGUUUUGAGUGAGAAGUAGGUCACUAUUAGUAGAAGUGGCUACUAUGCCAAGAAAAUAAUCAAGUGAUCCCAAGUCCUUCAAUUUGAAAUCUUAUUGCAACAAGAAAAUAAUACGAAGAAGGAA
rnacentral:misc_RNA from 1 species